rnacentral:rRNA from 1 species
CCGGGACUCCUACGGGAGGCAGCAGUGGGGAAUAUUGCGCAAUGGGCGAAAGCCUGACGCAGCCAUGCCGCGUGUGUGAAGAAGGCCUUCGGGUUGUAAAGCACUUUCACUUGGGAGGAAACGUUCACGGUUAAUACCCGUGAGCUUUGACGUUACCUUGAGAAGAAGCACCGGCUAACUCCGUGCCAGCAGCCGCGGUAAUACGGAGGGUGCGAGCGUUAAUCGGAAUUACUGGGCGUAAAGCGCGCGUAGGCGGUUUGUUAAGUCGGAUGUGAAAGCCCCGGGCUCAACCUGGGAAUUGCAUCCGAUACUGGCCGACUGGAGUGCGAGAGAGGGAGGUAGAAUUCCACGUGUAGCGGUGAAAUGCGUAGAUAUGUUGGAGGAAUACCAGUGGCGAAGGCGGCCUCCUGGCUCGACACUGACGCUGAGGUGCGAAAGCGUGGGUAGCAAGCAGGAUUAGAUACCCUGGUAGUCCACGCCGUAAACGAUGUCGACUAGCCGUUGGGGAACUUGAGUCCUUGGUGGCGCAGUUAACGCGCUAAGUCGACCGCCUGGGGAGUACGGCCGCAAGGUUAAAACUCAAAUGAAUUGACGGGGGCCCGCACAAGCGGUGGAGCAUGUGGUUUAAUUCGAUGCAACGCGAAGAACCUUACCAGGCCUUGACAUCCCCGGAAUCCUGCAGAGAUGCGGGAGUGCCUUCGGGAAUCGGGUGACAGGUGCUGCAUGGCUGUCGUCAGCUCGUGUCGUGAGAUGUUGGGUUAAGUCCCGUAACGAGCGCAACCCUUGUCCUUAGUUGCCAGCACUUCGGGUGGGAACUCUAAGGAGACUGCCGGUGACAAACCGGAGGAAGGUGGGGACGACGUCAAGUCAUCAUGGCCCUUACGGCCUGGGCUACACACGUGCUACAAUGGAACGCACAGAGGGCGGCAAACCCGCGAGGGGGAGCGAAUCCCACAAAACGUUUCGUAGUCCGGAUCGCAGUCUGCAACUCGACUGCGUGAAGUCGGAAUCGCUAGUAAUCGCGAAUCAGCAUGUCGCGGUGAAUACGUUCCCGGGCAUUGUACACACCGCCCGUCACACCAUGGGAGUGGGUGCUCCAGAAGUGGUAGCCUAACUUCGGGAGGCGAUCACCACGGAGU